UACGAGGGGGGCAAGUGUUGUUCGGAAUCACUGGGCGUAAAGGGAGCGUAGGCGGAUGUUUAAGUUGGAUGUUUAAAACCGGGGCCUAACCUCGGAGCGGCAUCCAAAACUGGGCAUCUUGAAUAGGUCAGAGGCUGGUGGAAUUGGAGGUGUAGGGGUGGAAUGCGUAGAGAUCUCCAAGAAAACCAAUUGCGAAGGAAGCCAGCUGGGACCAUAUUACGCUGAGGCUCGAAAGCAUGGGGAGCAAACAGG
rnacentral:rRNA from 1 species